rnacentral:rRNA from 1 species
GGGAAGGUAAAAGCUUACCAAGCCGAUGAUUCUUAGUUGGUCUGAGAGGAUGAUCAGCCACACUGGGACUGAGACAAGGCCCAGGCUUUUUAGCCAGCAGUGAGGAAUUUUGGACAAUGCGCGAAAGCGUGAUCCAGUAAUACUGCGUGAAUGAGGAAGGCAAAAAAGGUUUAUAUUUUGAUAAACCAGUUGUAAAAUUCUUUCGUUUAUGAAGAUAAUGACUUUAUUAAAAGAAGAAGCCCCGGCUAACUUCGUGCCAGCAGCCGCGGUAAUACGAAGGGGGCAAGCGUUAUCCAGAAUGAUUGGGCGUAAAGAGUUUGUAGGCAGUAUUUGUUGUUAUUUGUAAAAGCCUAAAUUUGUUGUUUAGAUAUGCAUUUAAUACUCUUUUACUUUGAGUAUAGUAGAGGAUAACAGAAUUUUAUACAUAGGAGUGAAAUCCGAUCAUUUAUGAAGGAAUGUCAGUGGCGAAAGCGGUUAUCUGGACUAUUUACUGACGCUGAGGAACGAAAGCAUAGGGAGCAAACAGGAUUAGAUACCCUGGUAGUCUAUGCUGUCAAAGAUGAGUGCUAUUAUUAGGAAAUUUCUGAUAUACAGCUAACGCG